GAGUUUGAUCUUGGCUCAGGACAAACGCUGGCGGGGUGCAUGAGACAUGCAAGUCGAACGGGGUUGAGCGGGCUUGCUCGAUCAACCUAGUGGCGGACGGCUGAGUAACGCGUAGGUGACCUACCCGGAAGUGGGGAAUAACUGCCCGAAAGGGUGGCUAAUACCGCAUGUGGUCGGCGAUUCGGUUCGCCGCCCAAAGCCGCAAGGCGCUUCCGGCGGGGCCUGCGUCCGAUUAGCUAGUUGGUGGGGUAAUGGCUCACCAAGGCGACGAUCGGUAGCUGGUCUGAGAGGAUGAUCAGCCAGACUGGGACUGAGAACGGCCCAGACUCCUACGGGAGGCAGCAGUCGGGAAUUUUGCCCAAUGGACGAAAGUCUGAGGCAGCAACUCCGCGUGAGGGACGAAGGCCUUCGGGUCGU
rnacentral:rRNA from 1 species